CUGCAGGUAAACAUGGCUUUGGGGUCCUUGGAAGAGCUGUAUGGUUUGGCCUGGCUGCACAGGACCUGAUCUGAGCUGCUUAUAACUUGUAAGCACUUGCAUAAAACAAAGGGGAGCUCAUUGCAUGGCCUGCAUGUCUGGGAGGCCUUCAGGCAUGGCUACAAAAAAUUCCAGAAGCAAGGGGGUGGCUGGAAGCUGCCCUCCCCAGUCUGAUUGCAUUUUUUGAAUUUUGUAUAAAGGUUGUCUGCUAAAACGUCAUAAGAUGGUUUUUGUUCUGGUGAACCCUGGGGCCUCACCCAUACAAGGCAAGCACUCUGCCACUGAGCUGCAUACCCAGCUCACAGACAUUUUUUAGUUGUAUGGACACAAUACCUUCAUUCUUAUGUGGUGUUGAGGAUCGAACCCAGUGCCUCACACAAGCUAGACAAGUAUGGUACCUAACACUGAGCUAUAACCGCAGAUCCUUCACUGUCUGAAAUUGCAGUUUUCAGCUUUACAUUUUUGCUUAAUUCUUAAGUCCAUUUGGGAGCAAAACUCCCAUUGCCUUGCAAAACAAUUAAAAUAUCAUAAAGCGCUUCUUGGUGUGCACAUAAUUAGCUUUAAUUUCAUAUACUGAAAUUCAUGUUUUGCUUGCUCAAGUUCAAAUGAUUUUUUUUUAAUAUUUUUCAGUUGCAGUUGGACACAACACCUAGACAUAAGUUAAGGCAGUUCUUAGAGAUACAGACCAAGGAAGCUCUUUGGUAGAUGUAUAAAUAAGGUCCUUGUGGUUUGGGAAACAUUACUUAUUCAAAUGGUAUUAGAGAAUUUAGGUUGCAGUCAUGUGGUGUGUGGGCUUAUGGCCUUUAAAGCUGUUAAAUUAUUACCAUGCCCAUCCUGAAGGUUUUUAAACUUGUUACUGUCCAGUGAAUAGACUUGAAAAAGUGUUUUGUUCAUUUCUUGUUUUCCUUGGCAGCAUUGCACAUAGAAGACUUACAUGGAGGGUUCUGCAGGUGUCGCUUGGUUGCAUGCCCUGCUGGGAGGAGGAUGCAGUUCCACACUAGUGGAUGGAAAUGCCUACAAUAUACCAUGUAGUUUUUAUCUUAAACAGGCCUAGAGAUAAUUUUCAGGCCAGGCAGUAUUAGGAGUUGAUACUAUAAUGUCAUAAUUUGCUAAACGUGAUGCUGCCCUUGUGAUCUUGGUAAGUUAAUCUACAACCAAGAACUUUGAGCCUUGAAUUUCUUCUGUGGAUCCUUUGGGUAACAGUGCUUGGAAUAAGAAACAUCUUGAGACACUUGGCCUGGCUAGAGCAUGGUGGCACAUUUAGUUGAGGAGGAUUGCAAGUUUAGGCCAGUCUGGCCUAGGCACUGGGAUUUAAAAAAUGAGGUUAAGAACCAUUAUGGCUCUUUUGAGUCCUGUGCUUCAUGAAUCAGUCCCUCAUCUGGAACCUUGCAAUGACUACAGAAUCUUUUUUUUUGGGAUUUGAACUGAAUACUAUGCAAUAGCUAUAUCACUCUUCUAUACCCCCAGCCUUAAGAAUCUGCAUUUUAAACCAGACAUGAGUGUGCAUCCCACCCCUGACCCCUGCCCCUGCCAUGUCCCUCAUCACCUGCAUGUUUAUACUUCAGAGGCACUACUUGGCUGGCCCUCUUGUUGGGAUGAGUGGUGCCAAACCAGGGACUUAGCAGGUUCCAGAGUUCAGAUGUAUAUUUCAAUUCUGAGUAUGUUAUUUUGACCACCGAGACAACUAAGUGUUUGUAUCCUUUAGACCUGUGUCCAUUGUCAAGGUUGGGUGAAAUAUCAGACAUAUUAGUGGGAAUUUUCAUGUGAAAUUUUUUUUAUUGAAUGUUCGGAGCAGUGUUGAAGUAGGAAAGUAUUACUUUCCUUCCUUUUCUGUGUGUGCAGAUGAGACCUAAUGCUCAGAAGUGAAGUGACUUCCCUAAAGCUCCCUGAAAGUUCAAUUUGGGUGCACUGAAAAUAAACGUACAGAUAGAUGGUACCAGAACAGUUUGGGGAUGUAAACUUUUCCUGAAAAUUGGGCCCUGUGUGGGGUUAACAGGUGCUUUGUAUAUAUAUAUGUAGUCUAUUGUGAUGCCAUGUGGUUCUAUAAUAGGGUUUGAAAACAUAGCUUGGGGUUGGAGUUGUAGCUCAGUGGUUGAGUGCUUGCCUAGUACAGGUGAGUCACUGGGUUUACUCCUUGGCACCACAUAAAAAAUAAAGGUUAAAUUCUUAAAAAAUCUCCAAACUGUCUUCCAAAGUAGCUUCAUAUUUCCACAAGCAAUUAAUUAAAAUGCCUUAAAAAAAAAAAAACCUACAGUGUGGAAUGAAUGUGGCUUUAAUGUGGGGCAGAUCUAGUUUUGAAGUCUUGCUAUGCAGUUCUGUGCUGUAGGGCCCUGGGUAAAUCCUGGGGCCUAAACUUCUGACCCUCCCACAUUUUUCCAUCUGUAAGACAGAUGUUGAAGGGAGCAAUAAAUGUGGAGUUUGGUUUUGACAGUACUAUAGAUAUGUCAUAGAGUCAGGACUGAUGGAGGCUGUAGGUGACCUUCUGCAGGAAAAGCCCAAGGAAAGACAGCCAGUGUUGGGUUCUACUAUGGCAGGUCAGGUACAGCUAAUAUCAAGCUAAGGAACUGUGGGAAGUGAAAGCAUGGGGUUUUAGAAAAGCAAGGUGUCAGUCUAGAAGGUCGGAAGUCUAAGACCUAGAUUGGACUGACUUGUCUGAUGUCUGGGCAUUGCAUUACCUCAGGUGGGGCUCCAGAGAAGAACAGUCCGAAAACAGUACCUGCCCUAGCAUUUUUUUGGUGGGGGUGGGGGCAGGGGGGUUAGUGAGGCUGGAACCCAGCAGUUCUCUACCACUGAGCUACAUUCCAGGUCUUUUUUUGGGGUGGUAAUGGUGGGGUACUGGGGAUUAAACCUCAGGGGCAUUCUACCACUGAGCCACAUCCCCAGCCCUAUUUUGUAUUUGAUUUAGAGAUAGUGAGGCCUUAAGCAACUUAGUGAGACCUAAGUGCUGAGGCUGGCUUUGAACUUGUGAUCCUCCUGCCUCAGCCUCCCAAGCCACUGGGAUUACAGGCAUGUGCUACUGCAUGCGGCCCCCAGUCCUUUGAAAAUAAAUGCCUCACCCUCAACUCCUGCCCAAAUCUUUGAGGACGGGUUCCAUUAGCUUUCUAAAGCUGGCCUUGAAUUUGUUGUCCUGCCAUUCGUUGGAGUUGCUGUAUUAUAGGAGUGGGCCACUAGGCACAGUGUACUUGGGGGUGUGUGUGUGGGGGAUACAUUUUAGAGACAGGGUCUCACAGCCCCUUGCUUU
rnacentral:lncRNA from 1 species